rnacentral:rRNA from 1 species
AUUGAACGCUGGCGGCAUGCCUUACACAUGCAAGUCGAACGGUAACAGGUCUUCGGAUGCUGACGAGUGGCGAACGGGUGAGUAAUACAUCGGAACGUGCCUAGUAGUGGGGGAUAACUACUCGAAAGAGUGGCUAAUACCGCAUGAGAUCUACGGAUGAAAGCAGGGGAUCGCAAGACCUUGUGCUACUAGAGCGGCCGAUGGCAGAUUAGGUAGUUGGUGGGAUAAAAGCUUACCAAGCCGACGAUCUGUAGCUGGUCUGAGAGGACGAUCAGCCACACUGGGACGAGGACACGGCCCAGACUCCUGCGGGAGGCAGCAGUGGGGAAUUUUGGACAAUGGGCGCAGGCCUGAUCCAGCAAUGCCGCGUGCAGGAUGAAGGCCUUCGGGUUGUAAACUGCUUUUGUACGGAACGAAAAGCCCUGGGUUAAUACCCUGGGGUCAUGACGGUACCGUAAGAAUAAGCACCGGCUAACUACGUGCCAGCCGCCGCGGUAA